AAGACCACAGAAGAUGAACUCCA
rnacentral:piRNA from 1 species